GUGAUAUUUUGACUUCUUCUUUUCCGAUCUGUAUCCCCUUGACCUCCUUUUGUUGUCUGAUUGCUCUGGCUAGAACUUCAAGAACUAUUUUGAAUAAGUAGGGAGAGAGUGGGCAACCUUGUCUUGUCCCUGAUUUUAGUGGGAUUGCUUCAAGUUUCUCCCCAUUUAGUUUAAUGUUAGCAACUGGUUUGCUGUAUAUUGCUUUUACUAUGUUUAGGUAUGGGCCUUGAAUUCCUAUUCUUUCCAGGACUUUUAUCAUGAAGGGGUGUUGAAUUUUGUCAAAUGCUUUCUCAGCAUCUAAUGAAAUGAUCAUGUGGUUUUGUUCUUUCAGUUUGUUUACAUAAUGGAUCACGUUGAUGGUUUUCCAUAUAUUAAACAAUCCCUGCAUGCCUGGGAUGAAGCCUACUUGAUCAUGGUGGAUGAUUGUUUUGAUGUGCUCUUGGAUUCGGUUUGCCAGAACUUUAUUGAGUAUUUUUGCAUCGAUAUUCGUAAGGGAAAUUGGUCUGAAGUUCUCUUUCUUUGUUGGGUCUUUGUGUGGUUUAGGUAUAAGAGUAAUUGUGGCUUCAUAGAAGGAAUUCGGUAGUGCUCCAUCUGUUUCAAUUUUGUGGAAUAGUUUGGAUAAUAUUGGUAUGAGGUCUUCUAUGGAGGUCUGAUAGAAUUCUGCACUGAACCUGUCUGGACCUGGGCUCUUUUUGGUUGGGAGACCUUUAAUGACUGCUUCUAUUUCCUUAGGAGUUAUGGGGUUGUUUAAAUGGUUUAUCUGUUCCUGAUUUAACUUCGGUAACUGGGAUUUGCUAGGAAAUUGUCCAUUUCCUGCAGAUUUUCAAGUUUUGUUGAAUAUAGGCUUUUGUAGUAGGAUCUGAUAAUUUUUUUAAUUUCCUCUGAUUCUGUAGUUUUGCCUCCCUUUACUUUCUGAUUUUGUUAAUUUGGACACACUCUCUGUGUUCUCUCAUUAUUCUGGGUAAGG
ensembl:lncRNA